ACGAACGCUGGCGGCGUGCUUAACACAUGCAAGUCGAACGGGUCUGCCCUGUUUUUUGCGGGGUGGGUCAGUGGCGAACGGGUGAGUAACACGUGAGUAACCUGCCCCUCACUUCUGGAUAACCGCUUGAAAGGGUGGCUAAUACGGGGUGUUCUGGCUGUGCCGCAUGGUGUGGCUGGGAAAGAUUCACUUUUGUGGUGUUUUGGUGGGGGAUGGGCUCGCGGCCUAUCAGCUUGUUGGUGGGGUGAUGGCCUGCCAAGGCUUUGACGGGUAGCCGGCCUGAGAGGGUGGGCGGUCACACUGGGGCUGAGAUACGGCCCAGACUCCUGCGGGAGGCAGCAGUGGGGGGUAUUGCACAAUGGGCGGAAGCCUGAUGCAGCGACGUCGCGUGAGGGAUGGAGGCCUUCGGGUUGUGAACCUCUUUCGCCGGUGAAGAAGGUCCUGCUCUUUGUGGUGGGGUUGACGGUAGCCGGGUUAUGAAGCGCCGGCUAACUACGUG
rnacentral:rRNA from 1 species